rnacentral:rRNA from 1 species
UACGUAGGUGGCAAGCGUUGUCCGGAUUUACUGGGCGUAAAGAGCGCGCAGGCGGUCGAGUAAGUCGAAUGUGAAAGCCCCCGGCUUAACUGGGGAGGGUCAUUCGAUACUGCUCGACUUGAAGGCAGGAGAGGGUAGUGGAAUUCCCGGUGUAGUGGUGAAAUGCGUAGAUAUCGGGAGGAACACCAGUGGCGAAGGCGACUACCUGGCCUGUUCUUGACGCUGAGGCGCGAAAGCUAGGGGAGCAAACGGG